GCCAUGCAAACAUUCAAAGAACUUAAAAAUAAACAUUUGUAUAAAUUUUGGGCGUGACAAUUUUCGCAUGUUCAUAAGUUCAUUGUACGUUUUUUAUUAUUGACACGGUUUCCAAUUUACUAUAGUUUCGAUCUCGAUAAUACAAAAAUGUUUAUCUGGGGCCGAGUCUGGGGCCAGUUGUAUCAAGCCCGUUUAGCUUAAACGGUGGUUAAGCUCAAAACAGAAAGCAACUAAGCAAGUCAUCGAUUUAUUCAACAAUCAAGCUAAACGUUUCAGUAGUGGCCGUGUAAAAAACGCGACCGUACAUAUUAGAAAUAAUUCGUUUUAUCAAUUCAUUCAUUAGAAUGAUCAUUUUAUAUGAUAACCCGUUUAUACUGACCUUGCAUAUAAAUAUCUAAUGAAAUACAAAUUGUCAAACACUAAAAACACUGGUGGUCAUCGAGGUUUAUGACGAUUACGGCUGAUUUGUAAUUUAUCCGUUCUUCUUAUAAUCGUUGUUUACAAUAAAUUGCAAAAAUAAUGCCCAAAAUUCCAAAUGCAACUCUUGUUCUCGUUUGAUCAAGUAAUGAAAGUUGAGAAAACUCUGAUGUAAACUCUCGCUUGUCACCUCUCGUGCAACUCUUGUUCCCGUUUGAUCAAGUAAUGAAAGUUGAGAAAACUCUGAUGUAAACUCUCGCUUGUCAACUCUCAUGCAACUGUUGUUCUCGUUUGAACAAGUAAUGAAAGUUGAGAAAACUCUCAUGUAAACUCUCGCUUGUCAACUUUCAUGCAACUCUUGUUCUCGUUUGAUCAAGUAAUGAAAGUUGAGAAAACUCUGAUGUAAACUCUCGCUUGUCAACUUUCAUGCAACUCUUGUUCUCGUUUGAUCAAGCAAUGAAAAGUUGAGAAAACUCUCAUGUAAACUAUCGCUUGUCAACUCUCAUGCAACUCUUGUUCUCGUUUGAUCAAGCAAUGAAAGUUGAGUUUCAAGCCUUAUGUACCAAAGGAUUGCCUAAAUCAGGUUUACAAUGCUCUUGUGCAGCCAUGUUUUGACUAUUGCUCUCUGCAUGGUAUGGCAAAAUUGUAAACUAGAGUUGUAAUUGAAACUUCACAAGCUCAAAAUAUGGCAGCAUACGCUUUUGCUUAUGCGCAAAAUACUAAAAAAAUGAAGUUUCUAGAUCAAUAUCAGACCAGUUUCACAUUUCAGCAAACGAUCAAUAUAAUCUACGUAGUAGAAAAGUACACUGCAUGGUAGCAGAAAACGGCAGGGGCGUCAAUGAUUACAUGUUAAGAGAUCUUUAAAAUAAAAUUGUUUACUGGGUAAUAUCUUCUUAUAUUAUAAAAGAAAUAGAAAAACUUGUAAUGCACUCCAGGAGUUUAGGGAUAUUACGAUUACAAUUAACAUUUCUAUAGCACAAAUUUACAUAUGAUAUGAUCAAAUGCGCUUUACAUCAAUAAAUUACGCUUACAUCAUUAUAUACUUAGCCUAGACUAUUUUAUCUUUACAACAAUUGUGAUAUUACUUUCUUUCCUGUGUUUAUCCUACCCCACCCUGUCAACUUUCCCUGUGGGAGGAAACCGGAGCGCCCGGAGAAAACGACUUUCGGCAGAGCGUUGAAUUUCGGCAGAGCGUUGAUUGAAUACGUGAGAAGCGUGUAAAUUCUAUUAUACCUCGUGUUUUACACGCUUCUCUCGUAUUCUCCCAACAUUCCCCCCAUGCAUAAUCACACCGUAAACGCACGCGACUCGUUUUCUAGUUCUUAAAUAUAAAUAUGUCCCAAUUCAUUGAGAAAGGAAUGAAGGGAGUAUCUCUUACACAGCACACGUCAGGCAGAUAAUAAGUAUAUGAAAGACUAUAAAUCAGAGAAGUUUAGCAAAUGUGUUUUUGUAUUUUAUAGACGCGUUCUAUGGAAAUUUUUGCUUACCACAACCGGUGGUUUUCAGGUGGCUACUGGCUAAGCAAAACAAAUUGAGAAUUAACCAAAUAGAAAGAUGACAGCACCUGUGGAUAUAGAUCUUGAAUUAGACCUUGAAUACCUAAAAGAGCUUCAUGGACCUCAUAGCGCCUCAGAAAAGAAUAGGGUACCUAAAAAUAAAGAAAUGCAGAUGUAUAUGAAUUCAACUACCAGAAAAAUGUAAGUGAAACUUCGACAUUUCGAGCGAAGCCCGUUCGUUGGGAAGUUAGAGAAUUAUGAGAGCAUAUGCUGUCGCAGUACUGCAAUACUACAGAAACAAGUAUGACGUGCCGACUGGCCAAGUUCACAAGCUAAUGGCUAGUCUAUGUAAUAAGAGUAAGUAUGUAGUCACUACAGAAAUUUGCAGCUAUACAUGGACCUAGAUGUUAAAGUACUAAGGUUCAUAGAGUGUACAUGCUUCUCGAGUAUACAUGACGAGUGCAUUGUCACACCGUAAACACACGGGAAUUUUCCUUUUUCUUUUAUAAUAUAAGAAGAAGAUAUUACCCAGUAAGCAAUUCUAUUUUAAAGUACUACAAAUGAACUACACAAAAAUUGGCUACAGGGCCGUAACUAGACGCGAUAAUUGGGGAGGGGGGUGCGUAUUCAUAUAUUCGCGUUCUGCCCUACUCUAAUGAAAGCAUUGUUUUUACGAUAUGUGAAAAUGAAUAUAUGAAUACGCCCCCCCCCCCCCCCAAACUGGCUAAUUGGAUUGAGAAAUUGGAAAUACACAUAAGAAUAGAACUUCUGCAAAAAACAGCAUUGUUAGGGACAGCAAAAAUACUGAUCGUUGGGACUUGAGGCUACUGAUUGUAGCCAGCUUCCAAAGAAAAAUGGCCAGCAUAAGAACAAAGCUGUGAAAAACUUAUAAUUAUUCUUAUACCUAUACCUAUACCAGGUAUAGGUGUAGGUAUGAAGACGUACUACUAUUGGAAAACGACCUUCUCAUCUCAGUUAGUGGUAUGACAAACGAUUACGAAUUUUCAUUUUAAGGUGGACUCCAUAUAACCGACGAAGGGGUGUGCGUCAAAUACUAACGGUGUCAAACUAGAUCCAUCCAAGGAAAUGCUUCCAUGGACAAAAAUACGGGAAACUUCAGGUAAGACCCUAAUUCUUAUUGGAGACUAU